GAAGGUUAGAAUGAGAGCUUCGGCAGGAUUUCUUUCCAUCUUAGUGGCGGACGGGUGAGUAACGUGUGGGCAACCUGCCCUGUACUGGGGAAUAAUCAUUGGAAACGAUGACUAAUACCGCAUGUGGUCCUCGGAAGGCAUCUUCUGAGGAAGGAAGGAUUUAUUCGGUACAGGAUGGGCCCGCAUCUGAUUAGCUAGUUGGUGAGAUAACAGCCCACCAAGGCGACGAUCAGUAGCCGACCUGAGAGGGUGAUCGGCCACAUUGGGACUGAGACACGGCCCAAACUCCUACGGGAGGCAGCAGUGGGGAAUAUUGCACAAUGGGCGAAAGCCUGAUGCAGCAACGCCGCGUGAAGGAUGAAGGGUUUCGGCUCGUAAACUUCUAUCAAUAGGGAAGAAACAAAUGACGGUACCUAAAUAAGAAGCCCCGGCUAACUACGUGCCAGCAGCCGCGGUAAUACGUAGGGGGCAAGCGUUAUCCGGAAUUACUGGGUGUAAAGGGAGCGUAGGCGGCAUGGUAAGCCAGAUGUGAAAGCCUUGGGCUUAACCCGAGGAUUGCAUUUGGAACUAUCAAGCUAGAGUACAGGAGAGGAAAGCGGAAUUCCUAGUGUAGCGGUGAAAUGCGUAGAUAUUAGGAAGAACACCAGUGGCGAAGGCGGCUUUCUGGACUGAAACUGACGCUGAGGCUCGAAAGCGUGGGGAGCAAACAGGAUUAGAUACCCUGGUAGUCCACGCCG
rnacentral:rRNA from 1 species